UGAGCUAACACCAUACGAAAAAUCAAAAAAUUAUUGACGAUGCACAGAAGGUUUAAGCCAUACAAGAAUCAAGUAAAACGACAAAGCUCAUCAAGCAAGGACCAGCAUCAGUAAAGAACAAAGAAAAAUAUGAAUCAAAACCAUCGGAAGGAACUGUUUAGGUAUUCUAGUUCUCGAUUCGUGUCAAACCCCUAGGUUCAUUCUUAAUUGAAUUCUGAUUUCCUGCACAUAAGGACAACCUGAAUUGGUGAGCCAAGACAAUUGAAAGGGCACUUAAGCACAGGAAAAAAAAAGAUUAAAUAAGGCAGUUGGACUAUGGCAAUUUCAAUAGAAAUAAAUGCAACUUAGUAACUAAAAUACAAUGCAAAUUGAUCUCAAAGAAAGCAAAUCCACAAUAUUACACAGGAUUCAUAUGAUGUUCUGUUAAAGAAGUUCAAUGACAGAAUUCUCAUGCAAAAAAAACAUGAACACCCAUUGGUCCUUAACAUUGUGAGCCUCAAAGAUCAAAUAUUAUCCAAGGGGAACUUCAACAGCUUUAAACUAGCAUAAAUAUGCAUCAAUGAUCAUAAAUUCAGUGAAAGGGGAAAUACUUUAGUGAUCCAUGUCGAACUUGUCGAGAAAAAAUAGUAGAUACAUUCAGAGUCGUGCAAGUAGGCUGCCUGGACAGGCAAACAGGGCAACUGACUCAAUUCAUCAAGGUUCAGAAUAAUUACUUAGAUUCGAGUCUCUAACAACUGCUAUCAAUUAGCCUAUACUCGAUGGUAGUCCCAAAAUUUUAGUGCAAAGGUAAGCUCAUCUUUCAACCAGCAGAACGUGCAAAUAUGGUCGAGGGAUCAAGGAAAACAAAAGCAUUCAAUGAUUCAUGUAGAACAUAUUGAACUAAGAUAGAAAAUACAAGCAUAUUGACUUAAAUAUUAAAGAACAUCAUAUGCAAGAGAAGAAGCAAAGAAGAUCAUCUUAUGAAGCGAAGCAAACAUACUGAGAAUAAACGUCAUAGUUUCAGGCUCGCUUAGCAAUCACGAAAGUUGAACACAUUUUUCAUUUGAAGGCGAUGAAACCUUGACUCAAAUGAAACUCGACAUCAUAAUAACAUUUAAAACAAAGAAAACGACCGCUCAAAAUCAACUUCUACUAACUGAAAAUAUUCAAAUGCAUCACACCACUAAGAAGCAGUUCAACAGCAAACAGAAUCACGCACAGAACCAAACAUCAUUCUGGACAAAAUCUCACUGCUCAAAAUACUUUAUACCAGAGAUGCGAAAGAUAAAUAAAUCAAACCUGAAAUUUUAAAAUCUUUUUGAUAAGUAUAUUCUCGACAAUACACCUUUUGAUUCCGAAUCCUAUCAAGGUUCAGUAGUGAUCAGCAGAACAAUAGUAGAAAAAUAGCUCGAACUUCAAUUUGUAUCUUCCAGGAACUCAAAUUCGGGUUCAAAAGUAACAAGAAAAAAUUGUAUCUAUGUUUUUCUUAAACUUUAAUGACCUAUUCAAAGAAAAUCAACUCGGAAAUGCCAUUUGUUCACAGAAAACCUUCCAACCCUCAUUUUUUUUAGCCCCCCCUCCUCCUUCAAAAUUGGAUUGAGCUUCUUUUGAAAAUAAAUCCCUGAUGAAUGUGGUGCUUGGAUUAAGUGAAAUCAAUGUAAUGCCUCACACUCAUCCAGCAAAUCCUUUCUAGAAGCCUCCAAUCACGUGGUCUUUUCUCUAAAUCGAGCGACUGAAGGGAAUGAGAAUCUUAGCGUUAGAAACGUUUAUCUGUGGUAAGAGGAGAAAAAAGAGAACGCAUGAGGAGAGACUUGAGGUUCAAUCGCCCGAAAUUGGACAGUAUUAGGGCUGGAUUUGGGAGUUUUUUUUUUUGGAGAAGAAGAAGCAAAGUUGCAGUACGCACUUGAGGGUUAGGGAUUAGGGACUUCGCAUUUUGUUUUGUGUAUGUAUCCGUGUGUGUUUUGCGAAUGAGUCGAGUCAUGGGUUCUUGGGCGUGG
rnacentral:lncRNA from 1 species